rnacentral:rRNA from 1 species
AAGAAGGCCUUCGGGUUGUAAAGCUCUUUUGUUCGGGACGAAACGGUUUCAUUUAAUACGUGAGACUACUGACGGUACCGGAAGAAUAAGCACCGGCUAACUACGUGC